UUUUGUUUAUCAUUAGUAGAAAGACAAAAAUAAUGAAACUGUAUGGUGCAGGAAGUGUCUUUUUCAUUGCUGUUUUUGGUGCUGGGCAAGCGGUAGAUCACUGGCUUCUGAAUCGAGAAAUGAAGCUUAUGAUAAAAUACUGCUGCUCGGUGCCUUCACUGAUUCAAGAGCGUUAGUGGCUAUCAUUGGCCAAUCUCACCAAAGGGAUAUAAUAAGAACUGUUGCAAUUUAUAUUUUCACAGGUUUAGUCUCAGGUUUAUAUGUAUGUGUUCAAGAAUAACUCCGAUCCUUCGAUUCGUAUAGCGGGCUGCGUCUUUGCCGAUUUUCAGCGUUUAUGCACCCAUGUCCAAAUAACAGCAAAGCGAGUUAAAAUGAAAGAGAA